UGUUUCACAAAUGAUAGGGGAUUCAAUAUACCUUUGCCUUUUUCUAAAUUAUCCUGCGAUGUAGCCAUGCAAGCUUGAUAGCUGACAACUGGUAAACAGAAUAGCGAAGACGUUUAAAAGCGUACAGUGAAGCCUCUGUAGGUGCAAAAUAGAGUGCAACAGACCACAUAGUAUUUGAGUAUUUUAGUAUAUAGACACAUAUUAGGGCUGUGCACGGAUCGGAUCGGAUCGGAUUUAGCAUAUUUCAAAUUUCGGAUUCUGAAAAGGGCAAUCCGAAUCCGAUCCGAAUUAACAUUGGAUCGGAUCGGAUUUGAAACUUUGAAUCGGAUAAAUUUUCGGAUUGUCGGAUCGGAUUGUUAAUUUUCAGAACUUGUUCGAAGUAUAUAAACAAAUGUUGGGAAUUACUUUCCAAAUACAAAUUGAGCAAUCACUUUUCAAAUACUUGUUUUAACUGUAAACUUCGAAAUUAAGUACUUAACAUUGUUACAUGUAACUGAGUACACAACUAACUGAACUGAAUGUUCAAUUUACAGUACAAAAUGAUUUAAACUAAAUGUUCAAUUUACAGUACUGAUUACUGAAUGUUCAAUUUACACUUUACAGUACACAACUGACUGAACUAAGUACUCAUAAAAAUUAAUAAUGCAACUGAGUUCAAAAAUGCAUAGUCCUAGUAACAAUGUUCGAAUUUAACAAAACAAAACAACAAUCUGAAAUUUACACAACUGGACAGUAAACCAAACUGAAGAGCCCAAAACAAAACACAAUCAAUUGUCUUUCAAACCAAAUUUGCAUAGCAAAAUAAAACAAACCAAACUACUAAAGUCCCAACAGUUCUUUAAAAUAUUACACAUAACAAAAGAGUUCCAAGUUUUGGGAAGCCGCAACAGUCAACACAAACCAGCAACUAGGCCAAAUGUAGCUCUCAAUCUCAGAUUCUCAGUAGGACUGUGAGACAAGUUAAAAAUCUGCAAUUUCAAACAAUACAAAGAGCAUUUUCAGAGAAAGAGAAAAAC
rnacentral:lncRNA from 1 species